rnacentral:rRNA from 1 species
GAACUUGCCUCUUGGACUGGGACAACUGUUGGAAACGACAGCUAAUACCGGAUAUUAUGAGAUUCUCGCAUGAGAAACUUAUGAAAGCUAUAUGCGCCAAGAGAGAGCCUUGCGUUCCAUUAGCUAGUUGGUGGGGUAACGGCCCACCAAGGCGACGAUGGAUAGCCGGCCUGAGAGGGUGAACGGCCACAAGGGGACUGAGACACGGCCCUUACUCCUACGGGAGGCAGCAGUGGGGAAUAUUGGACAAUGGGCCACAAGCCUGAUCCAGCAAUUCUGUGUGCACGAUGAAGGUCUUCGGAUUGUAAAGUGCUUUCAGUUGGGAAGAAGAAAGUGACGGUACCAACAGAAGAAGCGACGGCUAAAUACGUGCCAGCAGCCGCGGUAAUACGUAUGUCGCAAGCGUUAUCCGGAUUUAUUGGGCGUAAAGCGCGUCUAGGCGGAAAAAUAAGUCUGAUGUUAAAAUGCGGGGCUCAACUCCGUAUUGCGUUGGAAACUGUUUUUCUAGAGUACUGGAGAGGUGGGCGGAACUACAAGUGUAGAGGUGAAAUUCGUAGAUAUUUGUAGGAAUGCCGAUGGAGAAGUCAGCUCACUGG